UAACUCAAAAAGUAUUUGACCUAGAGUCAUGUAACUUUACAGGAAUAUUGAUUAGCAUGUGCAGUUGUGCACAAGGUAUUUUCAUCUGGAUUUAUUUAGUAUUUUUAGAGUAAUUGCCCUUCACUUAGAAAAUUUUUGCAAUUUUCAACUUGUGUCGCAAGUUUCUCAAAAAGGAUUUGACAUAGUCAUUAAACCUUAUAGGCAGGUUGCUCAGCAUAUUUUAGAUUUGCACCUGGGGUUUUGCUUGUGGAUUUAUCCAGUAUUUGUAGAGUUAUUUCCCUUGACUUAGUAAAAAGAUUGACAGAACAGUGGCGCGGUGGGGGCACCCGUGUCCUAUGGACACAUUUCUAGUUUCCAUCAUAAAUGUAUAGCAUAAAACAACAACAAUAAACAAGAAAGAAUUUGGUGAAUACAAACAAAUAAUAGAAUAAUGUUCAAGUGCUUGGCUGGCUAUCAAGAUUUUAAUCAGUUUGUAUUCAUGGCAUUUGAAAUUUCUAUAUACCAUAUUAAACAGGAACAUACUUUAUUCGAGAUUUGGUUUACAUAUUAAAGCUUGUUGUCAUAGAAAGGACUGAUUGUGAAAUAUUUGUCUUAGUUUAUACAGUUGUUGAAAUUUAUUAUUUCAAUUAAAGAUCAACCCUGGAUCAGUUAAGGAGGAGAGGUACAACAAAGCUCAUAGCCAGACAAGAAUGGUGGUGGAAAGAGCAUUUGGAAUGUUGAAGUCAAGAUUUAGGUGUUUACACAAAACAGGAGGUUGUCUGCCAUUCACACCAGAGAAGUCUGCCAGAAUUGUCAGUGUCUGCUGUAAGCUUCACAAUGUUUGUUUGGAAAGAAACAUUCCUUUAAUAGGAGAUAUAUUGAUUGAUGACACUUUGAAUAAUGAUGAUGUAGUUACAAUAUAUCAGAGUAUUCAAACUGGAAUUAAUGCCAGGGCUACCCUAAUUGAUCUUUUUUAAGUUUUAGCCUGACCUUCUUUUUUUUGAAAAAAAAAUUAUAGGUAUUAUUACAGUCAUGUUGGCGUUUCUGCUGCUGUCCACAAACUUUAACAUUGAUCAUAACUUUAUUUAUGUAAUAUAAAUAUAAAUGGUGGUUGUUUUGUCUGCUCUGUAACUUCCAAAUACAUGAAAGUUUCAAUUUUUAUUUAAAAAUUUAAAGUCACCAUAGAUGGACAAUGUGUUUUGAACAAGACCCAGGUUUCUUUGUCUAACUUCAAGUUCACUGCUGGGGUUCGACCUUUGUCAAUUUUUACCACCACACUUACCAUGUAAUUAAUGGUUAAUGAUGUAAUAUAUAGAGGAUAUUGAAUGAGUGUAAGUUCAAUACUGAAUUUAUUGCACGAGUUGAAUAAAAUUUUAUUAUGCGAGACUCUGGCAAGCUUCAACAAGUGCAAUAAUUUCAGUGAUGAACAUUACACAAAUUAAAUAUUCUAUUUAUCACAUACCCAAAUUUAAUUAACAAAAUGUAGCUAUUUCUUUUUGUUAUAAAAUUAAUUUAAUUCAGCUUUCUCAGGAAAUACUUAUUUUCAUACCACUCGAUGAAAAUAAAUCAAGUAUUUAUAGAAAAACUUGAAUAUCCUCUAUAUAUUUAACAAUCGUGUAAGUUAUUCUUAACAUUUUACAAAUUAAAUUGAUAUAUAUAAAUAAUAAGAGAGUUACUAAUUGGGUAACAAGUUACCUACAUGUGUAAGACUUCAUGUAACCAAUUUCAAAUAAUGAAUUCUAACAUGACCUGAAUGUUUCCUAUUGAACAAGAAAGCACCGAAAGUGUUUGUAAAAAUGCAAUUACUUCAUUUAGACUACCAUACUAGUUAUAAAAACUUUGACAGGUUAUAUGGCCCUAUAUAAAUGGUUGUUUGAAAAUAUAACAUGAGCCGCUAGGCGAGGGUUAUAUUUACAAACAAGCGUUCAUAUACAGCCAUAUAACCGGUCAGAAAUAUUUAUAAUAAAUUUAUAAUACAGCAAGCAUCAUUUUUAGAGGAAUAAACUGAGAUUUUUUUUAUAAAUCGACAGCAGCCGUGUAUAAACUAUAUAAACGUCACGAUUAUCCAAUGAAAAGCGACAUUACAAACAUGCAGUAUUAUAAAUGUAUGUAAUCACUAAAUGUGACACGCGGGAAGAAGUAAAGAAACAAACAUUUAGCUUGAUUUAAGGUAUAGCACCAUGUUUAAGUUAAUGUCAUGUUAGAAUCAAAAUAAUAUAUCCCAAUCAGUGAUUUUAUGGCUUUAUAAAAUCACUGUUUGAUGUCCGGAUGUGCAGCAUGUUAUCACAAGAGCUGUGCCUUCUUUAUAUAAUCUCUGGCAUCCGAAAUCAAAUCAAUAAUUUUAAUUUAGCUGUAAAAUCACUGCUUGGAAUAUAUCAUUUCUUUAGUUCACUAUAUUUAUUUAAUUUCCACUGUCCUUCCUAAGUAUAUGAUUUUAUGACUGCAUUUUGUAUUUGGAAAAUGUAUACUUUGAUAUUUAAAGUUCAAGGAGAUUAUCAAUAGUACUUUUGUAUGCAAUGAUGUCAGUAAGUCGCUUCAAUUCCUUAGAAAUUGCCCCCAGAUUUUCAUUUUGCUGCUUUUGCGUGUUGAGAAUUUCUUCAAGAAAUUUGCACUUCUUCCUUUCAAUAUCAAGAAGUUCUUGAUAUUUAUCUGUAAUUGAAAUAACAUAUUGUAAUAAUUGUAUCAUAGUUAUCAAUCUCAGCAAAGGCUUGCUUUGUAGCCAUUUCUUGAACCUGUUAAUUAAAUUUUACAUUUUAUCCAGCUACUAUCUAUAUUAUCAUCUGGAAGCCUUGCCGGAUAAACUUAUCUUAAUUGCAGUCAUUACGUCAUAAUUAUGAUGACCUCACAUGGUAAAAAGAAAAACAAGACAAAACUACAUCAGGGAAAUGUAAGAUUGAAACUUUUUACUAGUAAAUUGUCUAAAAACAUGAUCAAAAGCAGGAUAACUCAAAUACAUGCUCGGUGUCGGCCUAAAGCUCGCCAAGAUACACUUUCUCGCUCACCGGAUAAACCUUCUCUAUCAAAACAUUAACAAUGUAUUCUUUAUAUAUGGUUAUUCAUAUGAGAUUCUAUGUAUUUCAUAUGGUUUGAAACCAGUUGCUUUGUAUGUCAGAGAUAUUUCCAAUUUUACUUUCUACUAUAUCCAGUUCCUUGAUUCUCUGAUUGUGACAUUGUACUUAGGAUGCCAUAUGGAAUUUCUUUAAAAUUUAAGAAACAUACAUGGCACUUUUUGAAAUUCCUUAAGUCAUUUCUUUAAUAAACCGGACAUAUAUUCACAAUAAUACAAUUUGCAAGAUUUAUUUCAAAAUACGGCAUUAUUUCCAUGAAAGUUUCCAUUAUACUUGAUGUGUUUUACCUGUUAAUGAACAGCUGGAAAUAAUUUGUAAUACAUUUACCUAUUGGUUCACUCACUGUCCUUUUUCUUUUUUCCUGGAAGUAAAUUUUGAAUGUUGUGAAAAUUCAGAAUUGAAUUUAUUUAAUUUCUUCAAAUGAAUUAUAUAAUACCAUUUCUGCCUAUUGUGAACAUAUUAUUUUGUUAUUCAAUUUUUUCAAUAAAUUUAGUAAGAAAAUCACACAAAAAUAAUUAAAUAGUAAUAAUUUUAUCACAUACCAGUACAUUAUGUAAGUAUUGUUUGUAAAAAAAGUUUAUUUUGUAAUUUCCAUACCUACAAGCUUAUUCUGUAAUGUUUUCAAAUAUUUAGUGUCAUUUGAAAUGACAAGUCAUAUAAUCUUACACUGAAAGUUAUACACAGAAGUGUAGUAUCAAUUUUGCUGACUUGCAAAAACUGUGCUGGUAUAUGAUAAGAAAAUCAUUUAUUUAUAUUUCUUCAUAAUAAGGUAAGUAUUUCCUCAACAUUUGAUUAACCCUUUACCUGCUGAAUUAUUGCGAUGGACAUCCAACCUUAAAUUUCAGUACUUUCCAUUCUCCAUUUGUGGAUAUGAAAAUUGAAAGACAGCCUGGCAAAUGUAUAGAGCCUGGCCAGAUUUGACAGCUGUGUAUUUGACUUGGCUCUGCGUGGCAACAUUGCAGCAGGUGAAAGGUUAAUAAAAUGGUUUGAUAUUCAUUGUCAUAUACAUUUGUAAUAUGAUAUCAAGCAAUUCAGUAUUGAAAUAUGUGCAAUAAAAUUUGAAAUGUC